rnacentral:rRNA from 1 species
UGUGUCCUACGGGGCGCAGCAGUAGGGAAUUUUCGUCAAUGGGCGCAAGCCUGAACGAGCAAUGCCGCGUGAACGAGGAAGGUCUUCGGAUCGUAAACUUCUGUUCUUAGUGAAGAAAAAUGACGGUAGCUAAGGAGCAAGCCACGGCUAACUACGUGCCAGCAGCCGCGGUAAUACGUAGGUGGCAAGCGUUGUCCGGAAUUACUGGGUGUAAAGGGAGCGCAGGCGGGAAGCCAAGUCAGCUGUGAAAACUACGGGCUUAACUUG